rnacentral:lncRNA from 1 species
CAAACUUCUUCUGUCAUAAACUACAGAUGUCCAGAAGUACCUUAUUGUUUCAAUAUUUUGCUUCAAAUUCGUGGUUAACCAUAAGUUAAUGGCAUCUGUUCUUUCUUCCUUCCUUCCUUCCUUCCUUCCUUCCUUCCUUCCUUCCUCCCUCCCUCCCUCCCUCCCUCCCUCCCUUCCUCCCUUCCUUCCUUCCUCCCUCCCUCCCUUCCUCCCUUCCUUCCUAUUUAACUGUUUUCCAUUAAUUCAAGAUGUAUUUGAAGCACCUGCAGUAUCUCCUGGCAUACUGUGAAAAAUGUUGCUAUCUCUGGGUGGAUGAGACAGUCCUGGGAGCAGGGCUUUCUGUGCAGGUGUGGAGUUUGCUCACUCCCUGCCAGCAAUCCUGUCCCAGCUCAGACAGCCCAGCCUGCCUGCCUCUCCAUCCAUGCAGUAUGCAUACACAUACGCGCACCUUCCUGCCCGCAUCCAGCUCUCCUGUCAGAGGAUUCUGUCUUUGAACUGAACAAAGCCCUCACAAGCCAUGCUAUGAGUUGAGUCGCUUACCUCUGUCUCGGGAGGAGUUUAUCUCCCUUGACAAGGUUUUGUCUGGUGUUAGCAGCGGGGCUGAUGACAGGCUGUGCAUGCAGCAGCAUGUGACCCCGGCUCCUGGCCUCGGCGCAGGCAGUCGUCAGAGCUGUCACGCAGUCAGAACAAGUUAAUUCAAUGCGUGAAGGGCGAGGUGCGAGCUGUAAUAAUAUCAGGCCUCUGGAGAGGGUGCUGUCAUACAGCGUGUACUGGCGGCUGCCCCAGCU